AGAGUUUGAUCAUGGCUCAGGACGAACGCUGGCGGCGUGCCUAACACAUGCAAGUCGAACGGACGAGGCCCCUUCGGGGACCGAGUUAGUGGCGGACGGGUGAGUAACGCGUGAGCAACCUGCCUUUCAGAGGGGGACAACAGUUGGAAACGACUGCUAAUACCGCAUGAUGCAGCGAGAUCGCAUGGUCUUGCUGUCAAAGAUUUAUCGCUGAAAGAUGGGCUCGCGUCUGAUUAGCUAGUUGGAGGGGUAACGGCCCACCAAGGCGACGAUCAGUAGCCGGACUGAGAGGUUGAACGGCCACAUUGGGACUGAGAUACGGCCCAGACUCCUACGGGAGGCAGCAGUGGGGAAUAUUGGGCAAUGGGGGAAACCCUGACCCAGCAACGCCGCGUGAAGGAAGAAGGCUUUCGGGUUGUAAACUUCUUUUACCAGGGACGAAGAACGUGACGGUACCUGGAGAAAAAGCCACGGCUAACUACGUGCCAGCAGCCGCGGUAAUACGUAGGUGGCAAGCGUUGUCCGGAUUUACUGGGUGUAAAGGGCGUGUAGGCGGAGCUGCAAGUCAGAUGUGAAAUCUGGGGGCUUAACCCUCAAACUGCAUUUGAAACUGUAGCCCUUGAGUAUCGGAGAGGCAGGCGGAAUUCCUAGUGUAGCGGUGAAAUGCGUAGAUAUUAGGAAGAACACCAGUGGCGAAGGCGGCCUGCUGGACGACAACUGACGCUGAGGCGCGAGAGCGUGGGGAGCAAACAGGAUUAGAUACCCUGGUAGUCCACGCUGUAAACGAUGAAUACUAGGUGUGGGGGGACUGACCCCCUCCGUGCCGGAGUUAACACAAUAAGUAUUCCACCUGGGGAGUACGACCGCAAGGUUGAAACUCAGAGGAAUUGACGGGGGCCCGCACAAGCAGUGGAUUAUGUGGUUUAAUUCGACGCAACGCGAAGAACCUUACCGGGAUUUGACAUCCUACUAACGAAGCAGAGAUGCAUUAGGUGCCCUUCGGGGAAAGUAGAGACAGGUGGUGCAUGGUUGUCGUCAGCUCGUGUCGUGAGAUGUUGGGUUAAGUCCCGCAACGAGCGCAACCCCUAUUGUUAGUUGCUACGCAAGAGCACUCUAGCGAGACUGCCGUUGACAAAACGGAGGAAGGCGGGGACGACGUCAAAUCAUCAUGCCCCUUAUGUCCCGGGCUACACACGUAAUACAAUGGCGGUCAACAAAGGGAAGCAAAGCCGCGAGGCAGAGCAAACCCCCAAAAGCCGUCUCAGUUCGGAUUGCAGGCUGCAACUCGCCUGCAUGAAGCUGGAAUUGCUAGUAAUCGUGGAUCAGAAUGCCACGGUGAAUACGUUCCCGGGCCUUGUACACACCGCCCGUCACACCAUGAGAGUCGGGAACACCCGAAGUCCGUAGUCUAACCCGCAAGGGAGGGCGCGGCCGAAGGUGGGUCUGAUAAUUGGGGUGAAGUCGUAACAAGGUA
rnacentral:rRNA from 1 species